AUUGAACGCUGGCGGCAGGCCUAACACAUGCAAGUCGAACGAGUGGCGGACGGGUGAGUAAUGUAUGGGAAACUGCCCGAUGGAGGGGGAUAACUACUGGAAACGGUAGCUAAUACCGCAUACCAUCGGAUGUGCCCAUAUGGGAUUAGCUAGUAGGUGGGGUAACGGCUCACCUAGGCGACGAUCCCUAGCUGGUCUGAGAGGAUGACCAGCCACACUGGAACUGAGACACGGCACAGACUCCUACGGGAGGAAGCAGUGGGGAAUAGUGCACAAUGGGCGCAAGCCUGAUGCAGCCAUGCCGCGUGUAUGAAGAAGGCCUUAGGGUUGUAAAGUACUUUCAGCGGGGAGGCGUUACUCGCAGAAGAAGCACCGGCUAACUCCGUGCCAGCAGCCGCGGUAAUAC
rnacentral:rRNA from 1 species